rnacentral:rRNA from 1 species
GACGAACGCUGGCGGCGUGCUUAACACAUGCAAGUCGAACGGAAAGGCCUCUUUCGGGGGGUACUCGAGUGGCGAACGGGUGAGUAACACGUGGGUAACCUGCCCUUGACUUUGGGAUAACUUCAGGAAACUGGGGCUAAUACCGGAUAGGAGCUCCUGCUGCAUGGUGGGGGUUGGAAAGUUUCGGCGGUUGGGGAUGGACUCGCGGCUUAUCAGCUUGUUGGUGGGGUAGUGGCUUACCAAGGCUUUGACGGGUAGCCGGCCUGAGAGGGUGACCGGCCACAUUGGGACUGAGAUACGGCCCAGACUCCUACGGGAGGCAGCAGUGGGGAAUAUUGCACAAUGGGCGGAAGCCUGAUGCAGCAACGCCGCGUGCGGGAUGACGGCCUUCGGGUUGUAAACCGCUUUCGCCUGUGACGAAGCGUGAGUGACGGUAAUGGGUAAAGAAGCACCGGCUAACUACGUG